rnacentral:rRNA from 1 species
UACGGAGGGGGCGAGCGUUAUUCGGAAUUAUUGGGCGUAAAGGGCGCGUAGGCGGCUGGACAAGUCAAAGGUGAAAUCCCUCGGCUCAACUGAGGAACUGCCUUUGAAACUGUCCGGCUUGAGGCCGGGAGGGGGUAGCGGAAUUCCCAGUGUAGCGGUGAAAUGCAUAGAUAUGAUACAGAACACCGAUUGCGAAGGCAGCUUACUAAGCAAAUACUGACGCUGAGGCACGAAAGCGUGGGGAUCAAACAGG